CAGAAUAGGAUCAGCUGAUCCAGUGACUCACAAAGAAAAGAUUUAUAUUGAAUCAGCUGUUUGUCAAUUUAUUUUUAAAAUGUUGAUGUAAGCAGGUUUUAUUGUAAAUUUAUCUCUUAUAGUCUGGCAAAAAGAAUCAAUACUUCUUAUACUUCAAAUAGGAGAAUCUCACAAUACUUAGGGUCUUUAACCAGUUGUUAAUAAUUUAUGUCCAGACAGUCUAGAAAAGUGCUUUGAUAUACCUUUUUUUCAUUUUUUUUUCCUCCAAAAUAAGGAAAAAGACACUGAAUAUGAUGUCAAUACUGACGAGUACAAUGAUAAAAGG
rnacentral:lncRNA from 1 species